rnacentral:rRNA from 1 species
AUUGAACGCUGGCGGCAGGCCUAACACAUGCAAGUCGAACGAGUGGCGGACGGGUGAGUAAUGUCUGGGAAACUGCCUGAUGGAGGGGGAUAACUACUGGAAACGGUAGCUAAUCCCGCAUACCAUCGGAUGUGCCCAGAUGGGAUUAGCUAGUUGGGGGGGUAAAGGCUCACCUAGGCGACGAUCCCUAGCUGGUCUGAGAGGAUGACCAGCCAAACUGGAAACUAGACACGGUCCCGAAGCCGACGGGAGGGAGGAGGUGGGAAUAUUGGACAAUGGGCGCAAGCCCGAUGCAGCCAAGCCGCGUGUAUUGAGAAGGCCUUCGGGUUGUAAAGUACUUUCAGCGGGGAGGCGGUACCCGCAGAAGAAGGACCGGCUAACUUCGGGCCAGCCGCCGCGGUAAUUC